rnacentral:rRNA from 1 species
CAGGCUUAACACAUGCAAGUCGAGGGGCAGCACCCGUAGCAAUACCGGGUGGCGACCGGCGCACGGGUGAGUAACGCGUAUGCAACUUGCCUAUCAGAGGGGGAUAACCCGGCGAAAGUCGGACUAAUACCGCAUGAAGCAGGGGCCCCGCAUGGGGAUAUUUGCUAAAGAUUCAUCGCUGAUAGAUAGGCAUGCGUUCCAUUAGGCAGUUGGCGGGGUAACGGCCCACCAAACCGACGAUGGAUAGGGGUUCUGAGAGGAAGGUCCCCCACAUUGGUACUGAGACACGGACCAAACUCCUACGGGAGGCAGCAGUGAGGAAUAUUGGUCAAUGGGCGCGAGCCUGAACCAGCCAAGUCGCGUGAGGGAUGAAGGUUCUAUGGAUCGUAAACCUCUUUUAUAAGGGAAUAAAGUGCGGGACGUGUCCCGUUUUGUAUGUACCUUAUGAAUAAGGAUCGGCUAACUCCGUGCCAGCAGCCGCGGUAAUACGGAGGAUCCGAGCGUUAUCCGGAUUUAUUGGGUUUAAAGGGUGCGUAGGCGGCCUUUUAAGUCAGCGGUGAAAGUCUGUGGCUCAACCAUAGAAUUGCCGUUGAAACUGGGGGGCUUGAGUAUGUUUGAGGCAGGCGGAAUGCGUGGUGUAGCGGUGAAAUGCUUAGAUAUCACGCAGAACCCCGAUUGCGAAGGCAGCCUGCCAAGCCAUGACUGACGCUGAUGCACGAAAGCGUGGGGAUCAAACAGGAUUAGAUACCCUGGUAGUCCACGCAGUAAACGAUGAUCACUAGCUGUUUGCGAUACAGUGUAAGCGGCACAGCGAAAGCGUUAAGUGAUCCACCUGGGGAGUACGCCGGCAACGGUGAAACUCAAAGGAAUUGACGGGGGCCCGCACAAGCGGAGGAACAUGUGGUUUAAUUCGAUGAUACGCGAGGAACCUUACCCGGGUUUGAACGCAUUCGGACCGAGGUGGAAACACCUUUUCUAGCAAUAGCCGUUUGCGAGGUGCUGCAUGGUUGUCGUCAGCUCGUGCCGUGAGGUGUCGGCUUAAGUGCCAUAACGAGCGCAACCCUUGCCACUAGUUACUAACAGGUUAGGCUGAGGACUCUGGUGGGACUGCCAGCGUAAGCUGCGAGGAAGGCGGGGAUGACGUCAAAUCAGCACGGCCCUUACAUCCGGGGCGACACACGUGUUACAAUGGCGUGGACAAAGGGAUGCCACCUGGCGACAGGGAGCGAAUCCCCAAACCACGUCUCAGUUCGGAUCGGAGUCUGCAACCCGACUCCGUGAAGCUGGAUUCGCUAGUAAUCGCGCAUCAGCCAUGGCGCGGUGAAUACGUUCCCGGGCCUUGUACACACCGCCCGUCAAGCCAUGGGAGCCGGGGGUACCUGAAGUCCGUAACCGCGAGGAUCGGCCUAGGGUAAAACUGGUGACUGGGGCUAA